rnacentral:rRNA from 1 species
UGGGGAAUCUUGCGCAAUGGGCGAAAGCCUGACGCAGCCAUGCCGCGUGAAUGAUGAAGGUCUUAGGAUUGUAAAAUUCUUUCACCGGGGACGAUAAUGACGGUACCCGGAGAAGAAGCCCCGGCUAACUUCGUGCCAGCAGCCGCGGUAAUACGAAGGGGGCUAGCGUUGCUCGGAUUUACUGGGCGUAAAGGGCGCGUAGGCGGCAAUUCAAGUCAUCUGUGAAAUCUCCGGGCUUAACUCGGAACGGUCAGAUGAUACUGCUUUGCUAGAGUGCAGAAGGGGCAAUCGGAAUUCUUGGUGUAGCGGUGAAAUGCGUAGAUAUCAAGAGGAACACCUGAGGUGAAGACGGGUUGCUGGGCUGACACUGACGCUGAGGCGCGAAAGCCAGGGGAGCAAACGGGAUUAGAUACCCUAGUAGUCCCUGAGCGGGCUGGCAAGGCGCAU